rnacentral:lncRNA from 1 species
CUAAAUUUCCCCCUAAAACCCCUAAUUCUUUCCCCUAAAAUUUGUAUCCUCAAAACAUCCUUUAGGUGUUUCUAUCCGCCACCACGUCUUCAUCAUUAUCGUUCCCUAGUUUUGCUACUUUAAGCUCCUCUUCUUCUCAACCACCGUCUUUGUUUUUCUCUUGUUUAUCUGGUCGGUGUAUUUUUGAGGAAAAUCCAAAUUUUCUUGAAAGAUUUCCCGACCGACGAUUAUUCCAUGUUUAUCUUUUCGUCAAAAUCUCGAAAAUCAAAACAAUUCCGGUGUUUUUGUUUUUGAAGCUAAAGAGUCAUCUUGUUUUCCUUCUCCGGAUCGCUUGAUUUUGCCGCUAAACCUCUUCUGAUUUUGUAGCUAGGUACACUGUGAGAUUUUUUGGAAUCAGGCGUAAUGAGAAGAUUGCUUGCUACGUGACUCUGAAUAUUUCAAGUACAAAAGUUGAAAAAUAAAGAAGAAUCGUUUCAAGUACUCAUCUAUCUUUUUUUUCCUUCUUACUUUCACUUUUUAGGGUCUGAAAUUUCUUGAACUUUGCUCAAUUUAGUCGAAUCUGAACUGCACUAUGGAUGCUUAUCUGUAUGCAAAUCAAAAUAUUAUAGUCUAUAAGUUUAAAUCGGUAUAAAUAAAUAUAAUUUUCCUUUUAGCUCGUUUCUGUUUGCCUUAUAAAUAAAUAUAAUCGGUAUAUUUAUAAAUAAAUAUAAAUCGGUGUACACGAAAUCUACCAUAGUUGGCGCAUGAAUACCUUUGUUGUUAUUAUCAAAGGUCCGCAAAUUGUUUUGCCUUUGUUUCAUUUUUCGUUCAUCUAUUCCAACAACAUAUUGAACAAUAAUUGCUCGCGUCACAGUUAUUUCCAAUAAAUGUAAAAGGUUUAGCAGGAAGCAUAUGUAAUUUUAUGGGCAGUUUCAUUGGUUGGGUUGUUGCAUACUACUUUAACUUCCUAUGUGAAUGGAGCUGAACAGGUGAUUCAUGCCUUGUUCAAUUUUGUCAUAAUAUUUCUCAAGCUUCUUUUAUCUUACAAAUGACUGCAUUUCUUUUGGCAUUGUUUCAGGGACAUUCUUUAUAUUUUCAGCCUUUUUCUGUGCAAAUUUCAUCCUAUUAGCAAUAAUGGUGCCGAGACUAAAGGACGAACACUGGAGGAAAUACAAGCAUCAGUUAGUCAUUCUUCAGUUUGAAAUACCAUCAGCAAUUUGCUUUAAAAUUUGAUCUGUCUUGCUGGGUUUUUGUGCUGUGUCUUUGCAGAGUAUCGGGUAGUCCUUUCAAUCCUCAGCCAUGGCGGAACAGGUCCACAUUCCUCUUUUUCUGCCUUUUAUCUGUCUUAUUUUUAUGUGUUGAAACUGCUUUGAUCUUUCUUUUUAUUUUAUAUUAGACGGAGAAAGCAUUUCUCAAACACCCCAAGGUGUUUUUAAGGUGAACUAGCUUCUUCCAUGUCUUUAUUAAUUCUUGGUUUUGUUGAUUUCAUUUUUAAAUUAUUGUUUUCCCCCCUUUUAAAUUAUGAAUCCAUCUGUUACAAAUCUAUUUUGCAUUGCUCAUCAAAUAACAUGCACAAAUAAUAUUAUUUGUAUAUAUUUUGAGGAAAAUUAUAAUAUUAUUAUAUAUAAUCAAUGCAAAAUUUUUAAGGCACCUUAAUAAAUACGAAAUUUAUAGGCACGGAACUAAGAAUGAUUGAAGCUUCUGCAAACUUUUUUGUUGUCAACAUGGCGACUUUAGCUUUCUCAGCAUCAAUAAUUACUGAACUGUUAACCUUAAUCUCCUCAAAAUCAUAUUCCUUAGCAAGCUUCAUAACUAGCUUAACGACACACUAAUCUCUUAAAAGCAAAGAAUUUAAUUGAAGUUCAUAUUUUUGCAAGUUAAAUUUAGUAGAGUCUGUCGUCAUUCAUUGUGUGGUUAUUUGUGUUUUUCUGCCACUGUAUGUUGUUUUUGCUUUUUCCUUUUGUGGUGCUUUGUCGCACAGCACUUGGGCUACAUAUCCCCACGAGUUUGAAGACUUCGCUACUGGUCUGCUUAAAAUUCUGUGGAAGGCAAAUUUCUUUAUAAAUUAUGAAAUUGUUCUAAAAGAAAAGAAAGAAGCUUAAAAUGUGAAAAAAAGAACUCAUCAAACUGUUCUUUUUUUAACAUUAAAUACCUCUACUAGUAAUUUUGGAUACCGCUUCUUUGCUUCCAAUCAUACCUUGUUUAUUUCUAUUCCAAUUAGAUUACAUUGAUAUGAGCAUGCUUUAUCUGUUGACACCUUUCAUAAACUAGUUUCUGCGCAAAUCACGUAUCCUUUUCAUAAACUAGUUUUAGUUCAAUGCAGUAUGGUACUUAAUUUGUUUUCCAUAAUUCCUUGAAAAGAUUUUAUAUUACAAAAUAAGAUCAUUGUCUAUUUUUAAGUUUUGUUCCUCAUGAAGUUUGAACAUAGAUUUGUUGACCAGAAUGUUGUGUUUCAUGUUUUCACUUAGAAAUACCCUUUGUAACUUUUUUAAACAUUUACCUGAUUUUGGUCAACCGAAAUCUUAUUACUUCUUAUCUACAUGUUUUUUUUUCAAUUAUUGGAUAUUCUGUUUGAUUCCGUGUUAAAAUGUGGAAGGUAGUACUGGAUUAUGGAUUGGCAUUCUGUAACUAUUUUCCUUGACAAACUUAGAAAUAAAGCAAUCACAUUCACUAUUUUUCAAGCCUUUCAAGCCACUUGCGUCUUACUCCUCUAUGUUGAAUCAAAUUGAGGAAUUGCUAAGUGCUAGAGACUAUAAAGCUGCCAUGCAGCUAUCAGAAAAUCUAAGAAGCUUGGCACUGAAGGGACUUCAUUAUUUUCAAACUUUUUGAGGAUUCACUUCGGCUUUCUCUUCUGUUUUUGCUUCUUUGAUUCAGCUAAUAGGUGCAUUACUAUAAAAGUCCCUGCUUUGUUUCUCUUGCCAUACCUGUUUAUCUAUCGGGUUUUUAACCAUGAUUUUAAACUUUUAACUAAUUUUAAAAAAAAAUUAUUGAUUAGAUAAAUUUAGAUUAUCUGAUCAUUGAAUCUAGAUGUUGUUGGGCUGCCCAGAAAAAAAAAAAAACUUGAAAUAGGUUUACUUAGUACUAGUUAAAUCAGGCUUGAUUUUAGAUAAAUCUAAUUAUUAUCUUUAAGCAUGAUAUGUUCUAAUACUUUGAUUUAAGCUGUUGAUGUAUGUAUUCUGACUAUGGAAUAUCAUGUUCAAAUAUUCUACAAAGAAGCUAAUUAGGAGAUUCUGGAAUUGUUGAUGGUAAUUGGAAUUUAAGAAUAUAGGCUUAAGGGUUUAAUUGGAAUUUAAGCAUGAUAUGUUCUAAUAUUUUAAAUUUAUAUUGAUGAAUACUUUCCACCUAUAUUAACUUAAAUGAGUAGAUAUAUUAGUAGUGUACAUUUUUUAUUCCACAAACAAUCUUAAAAAGUUGAGAUAUUAUUUUUUUUAGAUGUAUUUGUUAAUAAUUUACUAUAACAUUAUAAAACAAUCUAAAAAAGUUGAACUGAUUUACUUAUCUUUGCCAUGUUCACUAUGGUUUGAACAGAUUAAGUUACUCUUAUUUUCAUUGCAGUUCAAAUUCGAAGCCAUGCUCAAAAUUUUCUCUAAGGCUCAUUGCUUUGAGUUCAUUACAAGAUUUCCUUGAUUAAGUAAAUGUAUUAUAUCUUUUAUUACCAAGAUUUACUUGAUUAAGAAAAUGCAUUGUAUAUUUUAUUACCUUGCAUAUGUAUUAUUUAUUUUAGUUUUGAUUCUAAAUUUUUAUUUUUACUUAAGUGUUCUAACUUUUAGAUUUUAAUUGUGUUAUUAAUUUAUUAUUUUAAAUUCUAA